rnacentral:tRNA from 1 species
GGGCUGUAGCUCAGUUGGCUAGAGCGCCUGCCUUGCAAGCAGGAGGUCAGGAGUUCGACUCUCCUCAGCUCC